GAUGAACGCUGGCGGCGUGCCUAAUACAUGCAAGUCGAGCGAACAGACGAGGAGCUUGCUCCUCUGACGUUAGCGGCGGACGGGUGAGUAACACGUGGAUAACCUACCUAUAAGACUGGGAAAACUACGGGAAACGGGAGCUAAUAGCGGAGAAUAUAUUGAACCGCAUGGGGCAAUAGUAAAAGACGGUGUUGGUGGCAGUUAUAGAUGGAUCCGCGCCGCAUUAGCUAGUUGGUAAGGUAACGGCUUACCAAGGCAACGAUGCGUAUGCGACCUGAGAGGGUGAUCGGCCACCCUGGAACUGAGCCGCGCUCCAUACUCCUACGGUAGGCAGCAGUAGGCAAUCUUCCGCAACGGGCGAAAACUUGACGGAGCAACGCCGCGUGAGUGAUGAAGGUCUUCGGAUCGUAAAGCUCUGUUAUUAGGUAAGAACAAAUGUGUAAGUUGCUAUGCACGUCUUGACGGUACCUAAUCAGAAAGCCACGGCUAACUACGUG
rnacentral:rRNA from 1 species